rnacentral:ncRNA from 1 species
ACUGAUCCGAUGACAGGAAGAGUAGACAAGCAGCGCCUAGACAGAGAGGAAGCACCGUGGCUGAAAGUGCUUCUCUAGUGCCGCGCUUGUUGAAAGACAUCCUGUAGGACCGCUAUUGAAAGAGGGGCUCGAGUAAAUAGCGGCGUGACCCGCGUUAAGGGUAAAGUGGGUAAAUGGCCCAAAGCCAUUUACCAAUGAGGGUGGUACCACGGGUGUAAACAACUCGUCCCUGAU